GAGUGCCAUGGGGGGUGUCAGGGAGAAGACAAUUCCUACAAUGCCACCUCAUGUAGCUGAAACCUCGCCUUCCUCUCCUAAGUGUUCUGUGCCUGAGUGCUGGGGUCAGGAUUAUGCAUGGUCCCAACAGGGCUUGACCAGGCAGGACAAGCAGGGUCGAAGGAGUCCCAGUGCUUUAAAAUACACUCCAGGGGAGUACACGUUACUACCUUGUGAAGAGGGUGCCUGCUUCUGCUUCACCUUCAGCCAUGAUUGUAACUUUCCUGAGGCCUCCCCAGCCAUGCAGAACUCACCAUGUACCUAUCACCUGGUAUAAGAAAGAAAUCCUUAGCAAUAAAGACGGAACCACGUAUGUCCUCCUCCCCUCACCCUCAGAGGGAGGCGUUAUGGACCCCGCAGACGCCAGGAGCCCCAGUGCAUCGGUUCUUCUUCGGGGAGGCCACGUCCCCUCCCCAUACCCUUGAAGGCGAUGCCCGCGUUGUUGACCAGCACGUCCAGGCCCCCGUACUCCUUGCGCAGGAAGUCGCGCAGGGCGCGGAUGCUCUGCAGAUCGUCGAUGUCCAGCUGGUGGAAGCGCGGGCUCAGGCCCUCCGCCUGCAGCUGCUGUACGGCCGCCUGGCCCCGCGUCACGUCCCGCGCCGUGAGCACCACGUCCCCCGAGAACAGCCGGCACAGGUCGCGCACGAUGGCCAAGCCGAUGCCCUUGUUGCCUCCAGUCACCAGCGCUACAUGGAUGCCGGACGACAUGGCUGAACGGGGCGCGCGGAACACCUGCGUGGAGAACAGACCUGGCUCAGGCCCGGGAGCCCCGCAGCGUGUUCCAGAGACUGCUCGAGUCUGGCGGUCGUGGGCGCGCACCCGUGGGUUACACGCCCGGCCGCUGAGCGCGCAGGCGCAGGCCCCGCCCUAGCGGGGCGGGGCUGAACCAUCCCUACCCCUCCCCACCGGAACCUCGCCGGGGUGCGGAGCAGGCGGAGAGCCAGCUAGCCUGACUUUGCAGAACCCGCAGGCCGAAGACCGAGGCUGGUCUCUAGCUACUGGCUGUUGGCUGCCCACGUGGCAGUGAAGAACCAUUCCUAGUGGCCAUGUGCCUAGAUCUGAACUCACUGCUUGCCCUUGGUUCUCUGAGGGGUUUUCUUCAUAUUCUCCCAGCUGUUCAAUCAUUCCUAGUUGUGUUUGAAGAAAUAGUACAUUUGCAUGGUUUUUUUUUCUUUUUUUCCU
ensembl:lncRNA CBR1-AS1 CBR1 antisense RNA 1